rnacentral:rRNA from 1 species
ACGGGUGAGUAACACGUGGGUAACCUACCCAUCAGAGGGGGAUAACACUUGGAAACAGGUGCUAAUACCGCAUAAUAAUCAACCCCCCAUGGUGUUGAUUUGAAAGACGCUUUCGGGUGUCACUGAUGGAUGGACCCGCGGUGCAUUAGCUAAUUGGUGAGGUAACGGCUCACCAAGGCCAUGAUGCAUACCCAACCUGAGAGGGUGAUCGGCCACACUGGGACUGAGACACGGCCCAAACUCCUACUGGAGGCAGCAUUAUGGAAUCUUCGGCAAUGGACGAAAGUCUGACCGAGCAACACCGCGUGAGUGAAGAAAGUUUUCGGAUCGUAAAACUCUGUUGUUACAGAAGAACAAGUACGAAAGUAACUGCUCUUACCUUGACUGUAUCUAACCAGAAAGCCACGGCUAACUACGUGCCAGCAGCCGCGGUAAUACGGGGUGGCAAGCGUUGUCCGGAUUUAUUGGGCGUAAAGCGAGCGCAGGCGGUUUCUUAAGUCUGAUGUGAAAGCCCCCGGCUCAACCGGGGAGGGUCAUUGAAAAACUGGGAGACUUGAGUGCUCAAGA